rnacentral:rRNA from 1 species
AUUGAACGCUGGCGGCAUGCCUUACACAUGCAAGUCGAACGGUAACAGGUCUUCGGAUGCUGACGAGUGGCGAACGGGUGAGUAAUACAUCGGAACGUGCCUAGUAGUGGGGGAUAACUACUCGAAAGAGUGGCUAAUACCGCAUGAGAUCUACGGAUGAAAGCAGGGGAUCGCAAGACCUUGUGCUACUAGAGCGGCCGAUGUCAGAUUAGGUAGUUGGUGGGAUAAAAGCUUACCAAGCCGACGAUCUGUAGCUGGUCUGAGAGGACGAUCAGCCACACUGGGACUGAGACACGGCCCAGACUCCUACGGGAGGCAGCAGUGGGGAAUUUUGGACAAUGGGCGAAAGCCUGAUCCAGCAAUGCCGCGCGCAGGAUGAAGGCCUUCGGGUUGUAAACUGCUUUUGUACGGAACGAAAAGCCCCGGGUUAAUACCCUGGGGUCAUGACGGUACCGUAAGAAUAAGCACCGGCUAACUACGUGCCAGCAGCAGCCGCGG